AGGAGAUGACUGCAUAUCUAUUGUCGGCAAUUCAUCACGGAUCAAAGUCAAAGACAUUGUGUGUGGGCCAGGCCAUGGUAUAAGCAUUGGAAGCUUGGGAAAGUCAAAUUCAUUUUCUCAGGUUUACAAUGUUCAUGUUAAUGGAGCAUCUAUUUCCAACACUGAGAACGGGGUUAGAAUAAAGACUUGGCAGGGUGGUUCUGGGUUUGUCAAAAAGGUUUCUUUCGAGAAUGUUUGGAUGGAAAAUGUCUCAAAUCCUAUCAUAA
rnacentral:misc_RNA from 1 species